CUCGAACUCACAAACUGUGAGAUCAUGACCUGAGCUGAAGUCAGACGCUUAACCGACUGAGCCAGCCAGGCGCCCCUGUCUCACAGUUCUGUAGGUCAGAAAGCCGAGUUGGCUCAACUGAUUAGUUUCACAAGACCAAAAUCAAGGCAACAAGGCUGUGUUCCUUUCUAGAGGCUCUGGGGAUGAAUCAGCUUCCAAGCUCAUUUCAUGUUGUUGGCCAGAAUGUUCCUUGCAGUUGUGGGACUAAGAUCCCUGUUUAAUGACUGGCUGUUGACCGGAGGUCAUCCUUAGCUUCUUCCACAUUCCUAGGCUCAUCAGCCCCUACCUCCAUCUUCAAAGCCAGCAACCAUGGUCAAAGCUUUCUCAUGUUUGGAGUCUCUCUGACUUCCCCUUCCUCAUCUCUCUGACUGCCAGAUCUAACUCCUGCCAGAGAAUUUUUAAUGUUUAUCUAUUUUUGAGAGAGAGAGACAGAGACAGAGAGCGAGUGGAGGAGGGGCAGAGAGAGAGGGAGACACAGAAUCCGAAGCAGGCUCCAGGCUCUGAGCUGUCAGCACAGAGACCAACUCAGGGCUUGAAUCCAUGAGCCGUGAGAUCAUGACCUGAGCCGAAGUCGGACACUUAACUGACUGAACCACCCAGGCACCCCUCUGGGUUUUUUUCUUAAUGUGUAUUAAUUUUGAGAGAGAAAGAGUACAAGCAGGGGGGGGCAGAGAGAAUGGGAGAGAGAAAAGCCCAAGCAGGCUCCACGCUGCCAGCACAAAGCCCGAUGCAGGGCUCAAUCCCAUGAACCAUGAGAUCAUGACCUGAGCCAAAAUCGAGUUGGAUGCUUAACUGACUGAGCCACCCAGGCACCCUGAGAAAUUUCUGUUUUUAAGGGCUCAGGUGAUUAGAUCAUGCCCACUAGGUAAUCCAGGGUGAUCUCCACAUCUUAAGGUCCAUAACCUUAAUCACAGCUGCAGAGCCCCUUCACCUCGGGACCUAGAUUAGUGUUUGAUUGAAUAACCAGGGGACAAGAAUCUGGGGAGGGUAUCUUGAGAUUCCUGACAACCACUCCUAUUUAACAUACUUAAUCCACAGAUAAGAGUCUGUAUCAUCAUUUUUUGGUCUUCACAUGUUCAGAGAGUAGGAUCCUCUUUGAGGCAAAGAGAAUUAAAUCCUUACAUGAUUCAGCACUGCCACAUUUGUAAACAGGGUGGGUGGGUGAGGGGAGAGUGAAGAAAAUGGAACAAACUGGCAUUAUGACAUGUUUAUCUCAUGGAGUCUUCAUCACAGCCCUAGGAAGUGAGUAUUUGUCACCUCGCUUAAAGAAUGACAAUGGGAAAUAGAAGAUUUUGCUCAGAGUUUGCACAGCUAGCCCAAUCCUGUCCAUCCCAGCUUUUCCACAGAACCUUCACCAGCCUUCCAGCCCAGAAUCUCUCCUCCUACAGAAUACCUCAGAAGUUUGCUUUAUUUAUGACACUUUCUUCCAUCACCUUUGAAUCCAGAGCAUAAGAAACCCCCUUCAAGAGGCCUUUCCUGAUUCCCUUGGGCCCGGAUCAGAAGCAGUCAGGCCUGGAUGUCUAAGCUGUAAGGAAUAAAGGUUCACUUAUAAAGGGUCGAACAGCUUUUCUGCAUCCGUUCUCCUCUCUGAAUCUUCCUCAACACGAGACAGAUGCGGUGAUCGGCUCUUUUCCAGGUGUGCAAACUGAGGUCAGACAGGUGCAGAACCUCACCAAAGGCUCCCCAGGGAAGAAGUGGCAGCGCUGAGACCCAGGCCCUCUGCCUCCAUAUCUCAAGCUCUUUCCGGGACUGUCCCUUCUGGGAAGGCUGGAGUCCCAGAGGGAGGACCCUCAGUCAGCUGAAGCAUUUCAGGGGUUAGACCCAGUCCCUGCUCCUACCCCCCACCCC